UGGGGGAUAUUGCACAAUGGGCGAAAGCCUGAUGCAGCGACGCCGCGUGGGAGAUGAAGGCCUUCGGGUUGUAAACUUCUUUUGCUAUGAACAAGGCAUGCUAAUGGGUGUGUUGAGUGUAGGGGUUGAUUAGCGCCGGCUAACUACGUGCCAGCAGCCGCGGUAAUACGUAGGGCGCGAGCGUUGUCCGGAAUUAUUGGGCGUAAAGGGCUUGUAGGUGGCUGGUUGCGUCUGUCGUGAAAGCUCAUGGCUUAACUGUGGGUUUGCGGUGGGUACGGGCUGGCUUGAGUGCAGUAGGGGAGGCUGGAAUUCCUGGUGUAGCGGUGGAAUGCGCAGAUAUCAGGAGGAAUACCGGUGGCGAAGGCGGGUCUCUGGGCUGUUACUGACACUGAGGAGCGAAAGCAUGGGGAGCGAACAGG
rnacentral:rRNA from 1 species